rnacentral:lncRNA from 7 species
AAUGUACGUAGAACCCCUAUCGAGCACAGAAACGUCAGCUAUAAGAAAGGAAAUAUGAAGUGCUGGCUCUUACCCAUACUCUGGCACUUCAGUUAUUCAAGGAUGCACACGGUGAUCCAGCUCAAUAGUUCUCUGCUACAGUCUGAUGUUCACGGUUUGUGAGGACAUGAACUGUUUACAUUCAUUUUUUAGCAAACACUGAUCUGCUCUCCUGUUAAAUGGGUGCUUUCAAAGGUUCUUUGCUGGGUUUGAUAACAGAAGCAGAGGAGGGAUUUUACUUCAGCUUUCUGCUCAAGCUCAUUUAACUUGAACUAACUCUUCUUGAGUAAGUUUUUUAUAUGGAAGCAAACACCGGGUUUUUGGUGUCAUUCACUGAUCAAACUUAAAUCUUGGUCCCAUUAACAUAAGUCUUCCUGCUUAUAACUGAAACAAACAAAAAAACCCCACAGUGCUUCUUAUUUGAAUAUUUCACAAGUCAGAUGUAGGGUCUGCUUUCUCCCCCUGCACCUAAGGCUAAGAGGAAAAAAGGGUUUUGGUAAAAGGUAUUGGGCCUUUAAUUUCCUGUUAUGAAAAAGCAUCUCUGUGAGGCAUUCCUUUAUCAGAUUCUGGAUAGCCCUGAUAGACCCUGAAAAUUAACUUCCCUUAAACUUCAAUACUACUGCCAAGCAUUUUAAGAACAUUGUUGAUUCAGAGGCUUAUUAAUUACUAGUAUAGUCUUUGUAAUUGCCUAGUCUAGAAAUUGAUGAACAAAGUCAUUUCAGAAAGCAAUCAAUUUGAAAUCUAAUUUGUUGGCGAAAUGAACCAUAUAAACAAAAUGCCACUUGCAGUUUGACUGAAAUGAGAUGUGCUUAACGAGCCUAUCAUCAUCUGUGAUAUUCAUCUUAAUGGGUCACAGUUACAUAAAUGUUAUAAAUCUGAACCAGUGCACAUAAAGCAGAAAUAUAAUAUAGUAUUCUGAAAAGAAUAAAACAUUAAACAGAUGGUUGCCCCAUGGAAACAUCCUUAAAUCUCACGUGUUCUACUCGUUGACUUUUGGGCAGAAAAAGCUGAAACUGAGUAGGUAUAAAAAUAAAUAAGUAAAUGCACAUGUCUUUUCCACACUGCAUUUUACUUCGGCAUCCAUAUUGGAGUUGGGAUUGAGAGGGUAGAGAGUCUAAAUUUGAGCAGCAAAACACAGGCUCUUUUGAAGUAAAAUGAUGGACAACUUUUCCUUAUUUUUGUUGCUUGAGUCCAGAACCAAGAAUUUGAGGGGUAAACUUUUAAUACAGUGACAAAAUCAAUUCUCACAUUUGAGGCAAAAGUAAAAUAUUUACGUGUAACAUGGUGGAACUUGGGUAAGCCUGAAAAUACGAGAGAAUGAGAAUGUUUAUUCAGAAUUAGUAGUGACGAAUAAGAUUUAUAAACAAAAUUAUAAGUAAAAAUGACAAGAUGGCUGGAUACAAACAAGGCAUUCAAGAGUCUAAGGGGCUGACAUGCCUUAUAUUAUGAAGACUAGUUUCUCUUUCUUCUGUGCUUAGCUAACUAGACAGCAUGUCUCUUCCCUCCUGACUCAUGACCCUGUCUUCUUCUAGAAUGUCUGAAACAAGAAAUCUGCACUUGCAGCUUUCCUAUUUAAUAUCAAAUGGUUGGAUGUCUCCCAGCAAUCUCGUUUUAGAAAAUUGUUUAUGAAAACAUAUCUGGACUUAAAUACAAAAAUACUAGUAAAUAAAGAAAGUGCAAAAUACUAUGCAAAAAGAAGCUUCUAAACUUUGGAUGGCACUCCAGUGCUAACCAGUCUUGCUGGUAAAGAGGAGAAAAAAAAUGAAUAAGGUGGAAGGAAAAAUAUAAGUAUCUCUACAUAAAUAGCUGCAUGUAUAUGUAUGUGAUGUAUGCUUAUAUAUAGUAUAAAUAUACAUCUGUAUAUAUGUACAUAUGUCACAUUCAUAGAUGUAUAUAUGUAUGUACUUCUUUGAAAGAGAUGGAAUUAUGCAGCUGAAGCUGCUCACUGUUUUGUGUAAAUGUUCUCAUAGUGUACAAACUGUAAAUAAAACAUAUACAGUGU